GCUGUUUCUGGGUGGUGAUGGCGCUAGUUGGAUAGAGGAUCGUGGUUUGGGGCUCCAGCGCGGUGGACUGAUUUGGAUCCUGAGUCUUCCAUGCAGCUCGGUAACCAGGGCGACGUUCAAAACAUUGAAUAAUCAGUAGGGCAGGCAGCCACCAAUCAGAACAGGCCCUGCUCUAACCGCCGGGCACCGCCAAAUGCGCGUGUACCUGCUGAAGAUUCUGGAAUAACCUCAACCUCACGGGGCCUCGGUUUCUUCAUCUGCAAUAUGGGCAUGGUGGUUGUAAUAGUACCACUUUGGAGGGCUGUCGUGAAGACUGAAUUAGUUAAUGCGUGUAAAAGAUUGAGAAACCGGUGUCUGACUAUAGAAAGCACCCAGACCAUUUGUUCCUGUGAACCCAACAACCCAACUUCCUACCUGAGAGCCUUUGAACUUGCCUGGUCGAUGCUUGUCCUUCAAACUGGUGAUGGCAUUUGACUGAGGCGGAGCUGGCCUAAAUUGGGGAAAGAAGAAGAUUCCGGGCACCCAUUUCCCAGUCUGGGCCUGGAAGCUGGUGUCUUCCCUCUGCAGUCUGACGGAAAGAAUAUCCAGUGGAAAAAAGACAGUCUCUUCAACAAAUGGUGUUGGGAAAAUUGAACAGACACAUGCAGAAGAAUGAAACUGGACCAUUUCCUUACACCACACACAAAAAUAGACUCAAAAUGGAUGAAAGACCUAAAUGUGAGACAGGAAUCCAUCAAAAUCCUCAAAGAGAACACAGGCAGCAACCUCUUCUACCUCAGCCAUAGCAACUUCUUCCUAGAAACAUCGCCAAAGGCAAGGGAAACAAAAACAAAAAUGAACUAUUGAGACUUCAUCAAGAUAAAAAGCUUUUGCACAGCAAAGGAACCAGAUGACAAAACCAAAAGACAACCGACAGGAUGGGAGAAGAUAUUUGCAAAUGCCUUAUCAGAUAAAGGGCUAGUAUCUAAAAUCUAUAAAGAACUUACCACACUCAACAUCCAAAGAACAAAUAAUCUAAUCAAGAAAUGGGGAGAGGACAUGAACAGACAUUUCUGCAAAGAAGACAUCCAAAUGACCAACAGACACAUGAAAAAACGCUCAACAUCACUUGGCAUCAGGGAAAUCCAAAUCAAAACCUCAAUGAGAUACCACCUCACAUCAGUCAGAAUGGCUAAAAUUAACAAGUCAGGAAACGAUAAAUGUUGGCAAGGAUGCAGAGAAAGGGGAGCCCUCCUACACUGUUGGUGGGAAUGCAAGCUGGUGCAGCCACUCUGGAAACAAAAUGGAGGUUCCUCAAAAAGUUAAAAAAAAAAAAAAAAAGAGCUACUCUACGACCCAGCAAUUGCACUAUUGGGUAUUUACCCCAAACAAACAAAUGUAAUGAUCCGAAGGGGCACAUGCACCCCAAUGUUCAUAGCAGCAAUGGUCACAAUAGCCAAAAUAUGGAAAGAGCCUAGAUGUCCAUUGACAGAUGAAUGGAUAAAGAAGAUGUGAUGUAUAUAUACAAUGGAAUAUUACUCAGCCAUCCAAAAGAAUGAAAUCUUGCCAUUUGCAACAACAUGGAUGGAACUAGAGGGUAUUAUGCUAAGCAAAAUAAGUCAACCAGAGAAAGACAAUUAUCAUAUGAUCUCACUGCUAUGUGGAAUUUAAGAAACAAGGCCAAAAGUCAUAGGAGAAGAGAGAAAAAAGUGAAACAAGAUGAAACCAGAGAGGGAGACAAACCAUAAGAGACUCUUAAUCAUAGGAAACAAACUGAGGGCUGUUGGAGGAGAGGUGGUUGGAGGGAUGGGGUCACUGGGUGAUGGACAUUGGGGAGGGUAUGUGUUGUAAUGAGCACUGAGUAUUAUAUAAGACUGAUGAAUCAUAGGGUGCCUGGGUGGCUCAGUUGGUUAAGCGACUGCCUUCGGCUCAGGUCAUGAUCCUGGAGUCCCGGGAUCGAGUCCCGCAUCGGGCUCCCUGCUCGGCGGGGAGUCUGCUUUUCCCUCUGACCCUCCCUCCUCUCAUGUGCUUGCUCUCUCUCAUUCUCUCUCUCUCAAAUAAAUAAAUAAAAUCUUUAAAAAAAAAAAGACUGAUGAAUCAUAGACCUGUACCCCUAAAACAAAUAAUACAUUAUAUGUUAAUUAAUUGAAUUUCAAUUAAAAAUAUUUAAAAAAGAAAAAAUAUACUAUAUAUAUACUAUAAAUAUGUAUACUUACAUAUACAUGAGAAAAAUAUAUAUACUAUAUAUACUAUCUAUAUAAAAAAGAAAAAUAGAUACACUAUAUAUAUAGUAUACAUAUAUAUAUUUAUAUAUAACCCCUAUUCUCUGUCUCUACAGAUUUGCCUAUUCUGGACAUUUCAUAUGAUGGAAUCAUAGAAUAUGUGGAUUUUUGUGACUGACGUCCUUCACUUUCCAAGGCCAGUUCAAGCUACAGCAUAUAUCUCUACUUCAUUCCCUUUUAUGGCCAAAUGAUAUUCCAUUGUAUGAAUAUAUCACAUUUUGUUUCUCCAUUUGUCUAUUGAUGGACAUGUAGAUUAUUUCUGCCUUUUGACUAUCAUGAGUAUUGCUGCUGUAAACAUUCAUGUCCAAGUUUUUCUGCGGACAAAUGUGUUUUCAUUUCUCUUGGAUAUAUACUUGGGGUGGAAUUGCUGGGUUAUAUGGUAACGCUAUAUUUAUUUAUUUAUUUAUUAAAGAUUUUAUUUAUUUAUUUGACAGAGAGAUAGCGAGAGCAGGAACACAG